UAUAUUUAACGUAGUAUCUCAGUAGCAGAUAAUGAUGAGUGGCCUGGUGGAGAAGGGCAGUGUUUAUAUUCUUGAGUGGGGUGGGUUCAAUACUCAUGUGUGACAUUUUUUGGCAUUUUAUUUCUUUUAGCUAUAUUAUUUUUUCUUUUAGCAUUUUAGUUUCUUUUUAUGUUUAUGCCUUUAUUACACUCAUAUGUUCAUUUUGUUAAUAAUGUAAAGUUGUUGUAUUUUAAUUUAAUUCAAAACCAUUUUAAAACUAUAAAAAUCAUA
rnacentral:lncRNA from 1 species